rnacentral:rRNA from 1 species
AAAGAGUAAGAAAUUUUAAGGAGUAUACCUUUUGUAUCAGGGGAAGUCAAAAGUAAAGGUAGAAAAAGAUCGAUUUAAGCAGAGCUUCGUAUAAGAGAACCAUAGUUGAAUUUGUGGGUUUAACAUAUCAUGUGGUGAAAAAUGUACGGUGCUUAUGGUAACUAUUUGUUUUCUUUGUUGGGGGGUAAGCUUUCAUUAACUUAACCGCGCAAAAAAGAUAGGGAGUUAGGCUUUGUAUUAGUCAAAUUAUUAAAUUGUUUUAAAUAACCUAAGAGUGUAGGCUAAAUCUUAAGAUCAAAAGACUUGGCCUGUCAGUAGCAACAGUUCUAAAUAAUGAGUUUAUUGAAUAUAGGUCGGAAUACUUAAAUAACUCGUGGUAGGUUAGAAUGUUUAGCAAAAACAUUUUCUUUGGGGGUAGGCAAGAUAAGACCUGCCCGGUGAUUUUUAACGGCUGCGGUAUUUUGACUGUGCUAAGGUAGCAUAAUCAUUUGCUACUUAAUUGGUAGCUGGAAUGAAAGGUUAAACUAAUUUACUCAGUUUGUUGUGUUUUCUAAGAAGUUAAAGUCAAGGUAAGAAUUCUUUGGUCUGCUAGGGGACGAUAAGACCCUAGAAGCUUGAUAAUAAGAGUAUUUGUUAGUUAUAGAGAUUAAUUUAUUUUACUGGGGCGGUAAAGGUAUAUAAACUAUUGUACUAUUGAUAGAUCCUUAAAAUAAAGAUAAAACGGAAAAGUUACUCUAGGGGUAACAGUGCAAUAUUUUUGGAGAGAUCUUAUUGAUAAAAAUGUUUGCAACCUCGAUGUUGAAUUAAAAUGUCUACGUGAAGCAGCAGGUACGUGAGAGGGUUUGUUCAACCUUUAAAU